rnacentral:misc_RNA from 1 species
GGCAACUCCUCAUCUACAAAUUCCAAUCAAUCUCGCCCAAGUACUGAAACAGAAGCCACCCAGAAUGUCAGUGGGAGAAAUCAGCCACCCAAUUUUACAGUUAUCAGUAACCCAUUUCAGCCUCCACAUGUUUCACAGAUCCCUCGGUUAACUGCUAUUCCCGAUUCACUGACAACUCUCUCUGAGUUUGUUAAUCGCAUGGAAUUGGUGUUGCAAUAUGAUGGUUCUCAGUUCCGUUCUACUAAUAUCCGUGAUCCCCGACAGUCUGAAG